rnacentral:rRNA from 1 species
GGGAUGACCUGUGGCUGGGGGUGAAAGGCCAAUCAAACUCGGAGAUAGCUGGUUCUCCCCGAAAGCUAUUUAGGUAGCGCCUCGGACGAAUACUACUGGGGGUAGAGCACUGUUUGGACUAGGGGGUCAUCCCGACUUACCAACUCCAUGCAAACUCCGAAUACCAGUAAGUAAUAUCCGGGAGACACACGGCGGGUGCUAACGUCCGUCGUGAAGAGGGAAACAACCCAGACCGCCGGCUAAGGUCCCAAAGUUCUGGUUAAGUGGGAAACGAUGUGGGAAGGCUCAGACAGCUAGGAUGUUGGCUUAGAAGCAGCCAUCAUUUAAAGAAAGCGUAAUAGCUCACUAGUCGAGUCGGCCUGCGCGGAAGAUGUAACGGGGCUCAAACCAGGCACCGAAGCCGCGGAUUCAYACUUAUGURUGAGUGGUAGGGGAGCGUUCUGUAAGUCUGCGAAGGUGUAUCGAGAGGUAUGCUGGAGAUAUCAGAAGUGCGAAUGCUGACGUAAGUAACGAUAAAGGGGGUGAAAAGCCUCCUCGCCGGAAGACCAAGGGUUCCUGUCCAACGUUAAUCGGGGCAGGGUGAGUCGACCCCUAAGGUGAGGCCGAAAGGCGUAAUCGAUGGGAAGCAGGUUAAUAUUCCUGCACGACUUGUAAUUGCGAUGGGGGGACGGAGAAGGCUAGGUGGGCCAGGCGACGGUUGUCCUGGUGAAAGUGCGUAGGUGGUGUUUCUAGGCAAAUCCGGAGACACAACACUGAGACACGAGACGAASSCACUACGGUGSKGAAGCCAUUGAUGCCCUGCUUCCAGGAAAAGCCUCUAAGCUUCAGAUUACAAGUCAUCGUACCCCAAACCGACACAGGUGGUCGGGUAGAGAAUACCAAGGCGCUUGAGAGAACUCGGGUGAAGGAACUAGGCAAAAUAGAACCGUAACUUCGGGAGAAGGUUCGCUCUUGACAGUGAAGUCCCUUGCGGAUGGAGCAGUUGGGAGUCGCAGUGACCAGAUGGCUGGGACUGUUUAUCAAAAACACAGCACUCUGCAAACACGAAAGUGGACGUAUAGGGUGUGACACCUGCCCGGUGCCGGAAGGUUAAUUGAUGGGGUUAGCGCAAGCGAAGCUCUUGAUCGAAGCCCCGGUAAACGGCGGCCGUAACUAUAACGGUCCUAAGGUAGCGAAAUUCCUUGUCGGGUAAGUUCCGACCUGCACGAAUGGUGUAACCAUGGCCAUGCUGUCUCCACCCGAGACUCAGUGAAAUCGAAUUCGCCGUGAAGAUGCGGUGUACCCGCGGCUAGACGGAAAGACCCCGUGAACCUUUACUACAGCUUGGCACUGAACAUUGAAYCUACAUGUGUAGGAUAGGUGGGAGGCUUUGAAGGCGUGACGCCAGUUGCGCUGGAGCCGUCCUUGAAAUACCACCCUUGUAUGUUUGAUGUUCUAACGCAGGGCCCUGAAUCGGGCUCGCGGACAGUGCCUGGUGGGUAGUUUGACUGGGGCGGUCUCCUCCCAAAGAGUAACGGAGGAGCACGAAGGUUGGCUAAUCCUGGUCGGACAUCAGGAGGUUAGUGCAAUGGCAUAAGCCAGCUUAACUGCGAGACGGACAGGUCGAGCAGGUACGAAAGUAGGUCAUAGUGAUCCGGUGGUUCUGAAUGGAAGGGCCAUCGCUCAACGGAUAAAAGGUACUCCGGGGAUAACAGGCUGAUACCGCCCAAGAGUUCAUAUCGACGGCGGUGUUUGGCACCUCGAUGUCGGCUCAUCACAUCCUGGGGCUGAAGUCGGUCCCAAGGGUAUGGCUGUUCGCCAUUUAAAGUGGUACGCGAGCUGGGUUCAGAACGUCGUGAGACAGUUCGGUCCCUAUCUGCCGUGGGCGUUGGAUGAUUGAAGGGAGUUGCUCCUAGUACGAGAGGACCGGAGUGAACGAACCUCUGGUGUUCGGGUUGUCACGCCAGUGGCACUGCCCGGUAGCUAAGUUCGGAAUCGAUAACCGCUGAAAGCAUCUAAGCGGGAAGCGAGCCCUGAGAUGAGUCAUCCCUGACCCCUUGAGGGUCCUAAAGGGCCGUUGGAGACCACAACGUUGAUAGG